GAACAGAACUAGGUCUGGCAGGACGAGAAAAAGAUUAUAACAAAUAUCCCAGGAAAUAUUCAUACUUGGCCAAACUCUGGAAGCAGGAUACAGGCCAACAGACCAGCAUCAAAGUGAGGGUGGGAUAGAAAGAAAUCUACCUCCAUCAGGCCAAGCAUCAGCACUACAGUGUCUGCUUCAGAGCUGCGCAAGCCCCAUAAGUUAUUUCAAGGGAAGGGAGAAAAAUGUGCACCACCCUGAGAGUGAAUACAUGAUGGGCAACAUUGAAGUAUGCUCACUAAAACCACAAACCUUUCAGCUGCUGGCAGUAGUUCACUCCUGAUAAAUACAAGAUGACUCCAUUGCACCGUAAGUGCAAUCAUGCUGUGAGACUGCAGAACCAGCUUUGAAUUGCAGAACACUUGAAUCAUUAUCAAACCAUGCCACAUAUUCUAUUAAGUUGUUGUGAUGCCAAAACUCCUGGCAAAAUGUAUCAUGCAGCAUAUCUAGCUGCUACCAGGAGAUCAACCUGCUCAGAAGUACUGGAAAAGUCUCAUAUGUGAAGGCAAGUUCUGCAGACAGCUGUGCAAGCCCCAGGGCAGCACUGAAAAAAGUAGUAUUUUGAUUGCAGCAUGCAGUAUUAUUAAGUCAUAUCAAGGAGCUGAUAUUCUUCAGGCUUAAUUUAUAUCAUGCAACACCUGCUGCCUAUAGAUAAGUGUGUGACUUUGCUUCAGCAAAGAGUGGAUAAGAAUGGAGAGAAAAGAGGAAUGGAAGUG
ensembl:lncRNA